UACGUAGGCAGCGAGCGUUGUUCGGAGUUACUGGGCGUAAAGGGUGUGUAGGCGGUUGUUUAAGUUUGGUGUGAAAUCUCCCGGCUCAACUGGGAGGGUGCGCCGAAUACUGAAUGACUAGAGUGCGGGAGAGGAAAGUGGAAUUCCUGGUGUAGCGGUGAAAUGCGCAGAUAUCAGGAGGAACACCGGUGGCGAAGGCGGUGGGCUGGGCCGGCACUGACGCUGAGGAGCGAAAGCGUGGGGAGCGAACAGG
rnacentral:rRNA from 1 species